UACGUAGGUGGCAAGCGUUGUCCGGAUUUACUGGGCGUAAAGAGCGCGCAGGCGGUCGGCCAAGUCGAGUGUGAAAGCCCCCGGCUCAACUGGGGAGGGUCAUUCGAUACUGGUCGACUCGAAGGCAGGAGAGGGAAGCGGAAUUCCCGGUGUAGUGGUGAAAUGCGUAGAUAUCGGGAGGAACACCGGUGGCGAAGGCGGUUCUCUGGGCAUGUCCUGACGCUGAGGAGCGAAAGUGUGGGGAGCGAACAGG
rnacentral:rRNA from 1 species